GGUGAGGUGUUGAAUGGAGACCGUCUAGUCAGUGCUCCGUACAAACUAAACUUCAGAGAUGAGAAAACCUCCUCAGUUGUUUGUAAGAAGACACUUACAAAGGAGGAAGUUGCAAGGUUCAGAUCUGCAAUUGACAAAGGCUAUUACUUCCAAAUGUACUAUGAUGAUCUGCCCAUCUGGGGCUUCAUAGGAAAAGUUGACAAGGAAGGCAAGACUGACCCAAGCGAGUACAGAUACUUCCUUUACAAGCAUAUCCAGUUCGAUGUUCUUUACAAUAAGGACCGUGUGAU
rnacentral:misc_RNA from 1 species